rnacentral:rRNA from 1 species
GACGAACGCUGGCGACGUGCCUAAUACAUGCAAGUAGAACGCUGAAGGAGGAGCUUGCUUCUCUGGAUGAGUUGCGAACGGGUGAGUAACGCGUAGGUAACCUGCCUGGUAGCGGGGGAUAACUAUUGGAAACGAUAGCUAAUACCGCAUAAGAGUAGAUGUUGCAUGACAUUUGCUUAAAAGGUGCAAUUGCAUCACUACCAGAUGGACCUGCGUUGUAUUAGCUAGUUGGUGGGGUAACGGCUCACCAAGGCGACGAUACAUAGCCGAACUGAGAGGGUGAUCGGCCACACUGGGAGGGAGACACGGCCCAGACUCCUACGGGAGGGAGCAGUAGGGAAUCUUCGGCAAGGGACGGAAGUCUGACCGAGCAACGCCGCGUGAGGGAAGAAGGUUGUCGGAUCGGAAAGCUCUGUUGUAAGAGAAGAACGAGUGUGAGAGUGGAAAGUUCACACUGUGACGGUAUCUUACCAGAAAGGGACGGCUAACUACGUG